AAAGGAGACAAUAAAAAAAGCCCACUACUCGCUGCUCCUAGAUACUUGGAAGGCAGUAAAAAAAACAUCAUAUGAGAGGUAAAUUUGUAAUAUGCCAGAACCUAUAAGGAGGACAGUGUUGAGUGUAGUUUUGUUUGCAAGUUAAGGCUGUGUAUCGUUGUUAUGCUGUAUAUUUUGGACUGGGUUUUGUGAGUAAUUUUGCACUGUAGUGACUUGUGUAGAAAAUGGAACAGUAGAGAACAGGUUGACUUGCUUUACAGUAGAGAACAGGUUGACUUGCUUAACAGUAGAGAACAGGUUGACUUGCUUAACAGUAGAGAACAGGUUGACUUGCUUAGGAAUAGUUUGUCAUUGGUGAGGAUCUUUUUUCCUCAUAAGAUGUUUUCCUCUCUCUCUCUCUCUCUCUCUCUCUCUCUCUCUCUCUCUCUCUCUCUCUCUCUCUCUCUCUCUCUCUCUCUCUCUCUCUCUCUCUCUCU